rnacentral:rRNA from 1 species
UAGAGUUUGAUCCUGGCUCAGAUUGAACGCUGGCGGCAGGCCUAACACAUGCAAGUCGAGCGGUAACAGAUUGAUAGCUUGCUAUCAAUGCUGACGAGCGGCGGACGGGUGAGUAAUGCCUGGGAAUAUACCCUGAUGUGUGGGAUAACUAUUGGAAACGAUAGCUAAUACCGCAUAAUCUCUUGUCUUUUACGAGAUGGGAGCAAAGAGGGGGACCUUCGGGCCUCUCGCGUCAGGAUUAGCCCAGGUGGGAUUAGCUAGUUGGUGGGGUAAUGGCUCACCAAGGCGACGAUCUCUAGCUGGUCUGAGAGGAUGAUCAGCCACACUGGAACUGAGACACGGUCCAGACUCCUACGGGAGGCAGCAGUGGGGAAUAUUGCACAAUGGGCGAAAGCCUGAUGCAGCCAUGCCGCGUGUAUGAAGAAGGCCUUCGGGUUGUAAAGUACUUUCAGUCGUGAGGAAGGGUGUGUAGUUAAUAGCUGCACAUCUUGACGUUAGCGACAGAAGAAGCACCGGCUAACUCCGUGCCAGCAGCCGCGGUAAUACGGAGGGUGCGAGCGUUAAUCGGAAUUACUGGGCGUAAAGCGCAUGCAGGUGGUUCAUUAAGUCAGAUGUGAAAGCCCGGGGCUCAACCUCGGAACCGCAUUUGAAACUGGUGAACUAGAGUGCUGUAGAGGGGGGUAGAAUUUCA